rnacentral:rRNA from 1 species
GACGAACGCUGGCGGCGUGCUUAACACAUGCAAGUUGAACGGAAAGGCCCUGCUUUUGUGGGGUGCUCGAGUGGCGAACGGGUGAGUAACACGUGAGUAACCUGCCCUUGACUUUGGGAUAACUUCAGGAAACUGGGGCUAAUACCGGAUAGGAGCUCCUGCUGCAUGGUGGGGGUUGGAAAGUUUCGGCGGUUGGGGAUGGACUCGCGGCUUAUCAGCUUGUUGGUGGGGUAGUGGCUUACCAAGGCUUUGACGGGUAGCCGGCCUGAGAGGGUGACCGGCCACAUUGGGACUGAGAUACGGCCCAGACUCCUACGGGAGGCAGCAGUGGGGAAUAUUGCACAAUGGGCGGAAGCCUGAUGCAGCAACGCCGCGUGCGGGAUGACGGCCUUCGGGUUGUACACCGCUUUCGCCUGUGACGAAGCGUGAGUGACGGUAAUGGGUAAAGAAGCACCGGCUAACUACGUG